GAUGAACGCUGGCGGCGUGCCUAAUACAUGCAAGUCGAGCGAACGGACCAGGAGCUUGCUUCUCUGAUGUUAGCGGCGGACGGGUGAGUAACAUGUGUAUAACCUACCUAUAAGACUGGGAUAAUUUCGGGAAACCGGAUCUAAUACCGGAUAAUAUUUUGAACCUCGUGGUUCAAAAGUGAAAUACGGUCUUUCUGUCAGUAAUAGCUGGAUCCGGCCUGCAUUAGCUAGUGGGUAAGGUACAGGCUUACCAAGGCAACGAUGGAUAGACGACCUAAGAGGGUGAUCGGCCACCUUGGAAGUGAGGCAGGGUCCAGACUCCUAGGGGAGGACGCAGUAGGGAAUCUUACGCAAUGGAGGAGAGCAUGACAGAGCAACGCGGCGGGAGUGAUGGAGGUGCUAGGAUCGUAAAGCUAUGAUAGUAGGAGAGAACAUAUGUGUAAUUAACCGUGAAGAUAUUGACGGUACCGAGUCAAAAAGCCCCGGCUAACUCCGUG
rnacentral:rRNA from 1 species